ensembl:snRNA U6 U6 spliceosomal RNA
GUGCUCACUUUGGCAGUACAUAUACUAAAAUUGGAACACAACCAAGAAAAUUAGCAUAAUCCUUGUACAUGAAUGACACACAAAUUCGUGUAGCAUUUCAUAUUUUU